rnacentral:rRNA from 1 species
GACGAACGCUGGCGGCGUGCUUAACACAUGCAAGUCGAACGGAAAGGCCCUGCUUUUGUGGGGUGCUCGAGUGGCGAACGGGUGAGUAACACGUGAGUAACCUGCCCUUGACUUUGGGAUAACUUCAGGAAACUGGGGCUAAUACCGGAUAGGAGCUCCUGCUGCAUGGUGGGGGUUGGAAAGUUUCGGCGGUUGGGGAUGGACUCGCGGCUUAUCAGCUUGUUGGUGGGGUAGUGGCUUACCAAGGCUUUGACGGGUAGCCGGCCUGAGAGGGGGACCGGCGACAUGGGGACUGAGGUACGGCCCAGAAUCGUACGGGAGGCAGAAGUGGGGAAUAUUGCAGAAUGGGCGGAAGACUGAUGCAGCAACGCCGCGUGCGGGAUGACGGCCUUCGGGUGGUAAACCGCUUUCGCCUGUGACGAAGCGUGAGUGACGGUAAUGGGUAAAGAAGCACCGGCUAACUACGUG